rnacentral:rRNA from 1 species
UACGUAGGGGGCAAGCGUUGUCCGGAUUUAUUGGGCGUAAAGCGCUCGCAGGUGGUUCGUCGCGUCGUGCGUGAAAGACCCCGGCUUAACUGGGGGAGGUCGUGCGAUACGGGCGGACUGGAGGCCAGUAGGGGGAUGCGGAAUUCCGGGUGUAGUGGUGGAAUGCGUAGAGAUCCGGAGGAACACCGAUGGCGAAGGCAAUCCCCUGGGCCAACACUGACGCUCAUGCACGAAAGCGUGGGGAGCAAACAGG